rnacentral:lncRNA from 1 species
AUGAGUGACAGCGAGCGCAGGAGGCGGAUGCUGACACACUCAUUGCAUAGCAGCACCGCAAAGAGAAGGGCCGAACAAGGUAAAGUGAUCGAAUACAAUGUGGACAUAUCUUUACCGCAGUACUUCACUUUACCCAGUACUGUGAAAAUACCCAUAGAAGAUUACAUGAGUGUACCAUGGGAGAAUCCUACCGGCUAUGGUUGUGUGGACAUUCCGCUACGGUUUCAGGCAGAUUCUGUGGGAAAGUUUACAUGUCAGGUGGUGUUAAGAUCCUGGUGUGAUACCAGGGUUUUCAUACUGGAGGCGGUGGUUGCACCACAGGUAGACAUUAAAUUGUGAGAUAGGAGCAGAGCUACGUUUUUGCACAUUACAUGUUGUUCCUUAAUGUAAACUCUGUUGUUUUAUUGAUAAUAAUAUUUUUGACUGCAGACCAUAUCUACUUACUUGGACUUCAGUGCACCUGUUUUUCACUCUGUGACACAAGACAUACCACUAGUAAGGAAAGAAAGAAAUAUUUUGCUUAAUUGUGUGACUAUGCUGUUUAAGGCUGGACUUCAGACUUGCUUUUAACCUUCCCAUGGCUUCUUUUCUGAUGUGUGAAGGCGAAGUUCAGAAGGAAGCCAUUCUGUCAUUAGGGAUAAUUAGUGAUUCGAGGAUUUUUGUAUAACCCCCAAACACACAAAGUAAAUGAGAGUCUAUUGAAAAGCACAGAAGUUAUUGAUGGAGCCAUUUUCUACCUUGGUCAAAAGCAAGUGUUCAGUGUGCCUAAUAACUGGACUAAAAGUAUUUACAUUAUAUAUAUAUGUUUGUGUGUGUGUGUGUGUGUGUGUGUGUGUGUGUGUGUGUGUGUGUGUGUGUGUGUGUGUGUGUGUGCGUGUGCAUACACACACGCACACAUACAUACAUACAUACAUAAACACUUCUGUUAUGGCUGUAUUUACCACAGCACAAUGAUACUAAGCAAGACUGGAACUUGCUAGCUGAGUUGAGUGGUGAAGGAUUCUGUGGCCUGAAGGAUUUAAAUGUAGCAGCUGGUACUAGAGCCUGCUACCCCCUCACCUUUAAACCGUCUGCAUGGGGCAUUGUCAAGGUAAUGCAUUUUUUAAGUUUUUUUAAUGCCACUCAUUUUUUUGUGUUUCCUUGCUGUUUUUAUGGAUUACUCCUUUGCAAUUUAUGUUUCUACCUUAAAAAUCAGAGUGGCCUUAAGUGUUUGGUCUACCAAACCACCGUGUUUGUCCAUUUUUCUCAAUUGCCAAAUAUAACCACUUAUUUUAGUGACUUUAAAAGAAGUGUACAGUAUCUCUUACAAUAACAAUAAGAAUAAGAUAAGAAAACCUUUAAUAGUCCCGCAGUGGGGAAAUUACCUCUCACAACAGCAGUACAGAUGAGCAAGAAUACAGGUACAGAACAGUUUGUGUUGGCACAGUACAAAGCAGUACAGUACAGUACAGUACAAAGCAGUACAGUACAGUUAGAGUGAGUAUGAGGUCAUUGCAGGGUUAUUGCACAGUAAUGGGUAUAACGCCAAUAAUACAUACAUACAUACAUGGAAUAUAUAUACAUAGAGCAAUGUCUUACUUCAGUUUGUUUACUGUAUGUGUCCUUUUUAAAAACAUUUUGGUUUAUUUCUGUAUUCUGUUUUUUUUUUCUUUUUUGGUUGUACUUGAAUACACUAGAUUCCAGAGCUGGUGUAAACUGUCAUGAUCUGGUUUUGUGUUUCUAGUUGUUUCCUGUUUUAUUUUGGUAGUCUCCUGGUUUCUGUGUCUGCUCAAGCUUCACUUCCGGUUCAUGUCCUGUCACAGCUGUCCCUGCUUCAACUGGUCAUUACCCACACCUGCACUCUAUUAGUCAUCAAGUCACUGUGUAUUUAACCACCACCUGUGUCCUUAGUUCCCUGCCAGAUUGUUGAGUUUCGUUAGUUUCCUGAGUCCCUUGAGUUUCCCGAGUUUCCUGAGUUCCUGAGUUUCCUCGUUCUAGUGUUUCGUGUUCCGUGACCCUCAUGUUUUGUUCCUGUUUCGCUUUGACCGUCGUUUCCUGCCUGUACCCGGACUAACUAUCUGACCGUGAGUUUGCCUUAUCCCUGCCUGUACUUUUGCCGUAACCACCUGUGUAACAAACCCUGCUUGUAUACCGGACUCGAGAUUGCCUGCUCCCCUUUGUUCUUUAUCGCUGAGCCUUGUGUAUGACCUGGACCGUCUGACCUUGCCUUGGCAAAUAAAUCUGUGUUCAACUAUCA